UUGAGCCAACAGCUUGUUCCCGGGAGCCCGGACUCCGCCGGCGGUGCGCAGGCCUCCCCGAGGCUCCGGCCGCCGGGAGGAAGCCUAAACCGGCGGGAGGGCACCCACCUGGCCGUACCGGCUUCAA
rnacentral:sRNA from 1 species